rnacentral:rRNA from 1 species
UACGAAGGGGGCUAGCGUUGCUCGGAAUGACUGGGCGUAAAGGGCGCGUAGGCGGCUCAUACAGUCAGAUGUGAAAUUCCUGGGCUUAACCUGGGGGGCUGCAUUUGAUACGUGUGGGCUUGAGUGGGGAAGAGGGUCGUGGAAUUCCCAGUGUAGAGGUGAAAUUCGUAGAUAUUGGGAAGAACACCGGUGGCGAAGGCGGCGACCUGGUCCUUGACUGACGCUGAGGCACGAAAGCGUGGGGAGCAAACAGG